UGCGCAGGCGGCCUGUUAAGUCAGGGGUGAAAUAUGACGGCUCAACCGUCAAACUGCCCCUGAAACUGAUAGGCUUGAGUCCGGGAGAGGUUGGUGGAAUUCCAGGUGUAGCGGUGAAAUGCGUAAAUAUCUGGAGGAACACCGGUGGCGAAGGCGGCCAACUGGCCCGGUACUGACGCUCAGGCACGAAAGCUAGGGGAGCGAACAGGAUUAGAUACCCUGGUAGUCC
rnacentral:rRNA from 1 species